AACGAACGCUGGCGGCAUGCCUAACACAUGCAAGUCGAACGAGACCUUCGGGUCUAGUGGCGCACGGGUGCGUAACGCGUGGGAACCUGCCCUUAGGUUCGGAAUAACUCCCCGAAAGGGGUGCUAAUACCGGAUAAUGUCUUCGGACCAAAGAUUUAUCGCCUUUGGAUGGGCCCGCGUUGGAUUAGCCAGUUGGUAGGGUAAAAGCCUACCAAGGCGACGAUCCAUAGCUGGUAGGAGAGGAUGAUCAGCCACACUGGGACUGCGACACGGACCAGACUCGGACGGGAGGAAGCAGUAGGGAAUAUUGGAGAAUGGGCGAAAGCCUGGUCCAGCAAUGCCGGGUAAGUGAUGAAGGCCUUAGGGUUGUAAAGCUCUUUUGGCCGGGAUGAGAAUGACAGUACCGGGAGAAUAAGCACCGGAUAACUCAGUG
rnacentral:rRNA from 1 species